AAGCGGGUGAAAAGCCCGCUCGCCGGAAGACCAAGGGUUCCUGUCCAACGUUAAUCGGGGCAGGGUGAGUCGACCCCUAAGGCGAGGCCGAAAGGCGUAGUCGAUGGGAAACGGGUUAAUAUUCCCGUACUUGGUGUUACUGCGAAGGGGGGACGGAGAAGGCUAUGUUGGCCGGGCGACGGUUGUCCCGGUUUAAGCGUGUAGGUGUGUGUUCCAGGUAAAUCCGGUUCACUUUAACACUGAGGCGUGACGACGAGGCACUACGGUGCUGAAGCAACAAAUGCCCUGCUUCCAGGAAAAGCCUCUAAGCAUCAGGUAACAUCAAAUCGUACCCCAAACCGACACAGGUGGUCAGGUAGAGAAUACCAAGGCGCUUGAGAGAACUCGGGUGAAGGAACUAGGCAAAAUGGUGCCGUAACUUCGGGAGAAGGCACGCUGACACGUAGGUGAAGUGAUUUACUCAUGGAGCUGAAGUCAGUCGAAGAUACCAGCUGGCUGCAACUGUUUAUUAAAAACACAGCACUGUGCAAACACGAAAGUGGACGUAUACGGUGUGACGCCUGCCCGGUGC
rnacentral:rRNA from 1 species